CCCCUCCCUCCUCCCUUCCACCCUCAGCGGCCGCACCUGCCGCCGCCGCCGCCUGCCUCCCGCCCGCCCGCCGCCCUCGGCGCGUCACCGCCCGCGGCCCCUCCUCCGCCUUCGGAGGUGGGGCCCCGCGCUCAACACCUGGCUUCGGGGCGCGACUUACCGCGUGCCUCAGUUUACCCGCACAUGCCAGCCGCAGCGGGGAGUCCCUUCCUCCCCGGCUCGGGAUUUCCCCACCCGCUCUCACACCCCACUCUACGCAGGCGAGGACUAGAGGUGCCGAGAGAGCGGCCUCGGGUCCGGGGAAGGGAGAACGGGCCCCGACCGCCGCCUCCCCGGGCCCCCGCCGACCCGCCGUUGAUAUGGCAACCGAUAGCCGCCAGGGGGCGCGGCGACAUUGAAGGUGGUGAGCCAGCAACGCCUGGGCCUUCCACUCCUGGAUCCCCACCCAGUUCUCUGGGAGACAAGAGAUGAGACCCACAGGACUUUGGUUCCUGCCGAGCUGCUCCCUAACUGGUCGCGCCCCGGGAAAAACCAAACUGUGACAUUUGAGGCUCGAAGGAGAUCAGCCCUGGGAUUUCUUUGGAAGGAAUGAUGCUAAAGCUGAAACUCCAGUACUUUGGCCACCUCAUGGAAGAGUUGACUCAUUGGAAAAGACUGAUGCUGGGAGGGAUUGGGGGCAGGAGGAGAAGGGGAUGACAGAGGAUGAGAUGGCUGGAUGGCAUCACCGACUCGAUGGACGUGAGUCUGAAUGAACUCCGGGAGAUGGUGAUGGACAGGGAGGCCUGGCGUGCUGCGAUUCAUGGGGUCGCAGAGUUGGACCUGACUGACGAUUGAGCUGAACUGAACUGAACCGAACCUAGGCUGUGGCCACACUGCUUCCUACACGCCAGGGCCCCUUGCCUUCAGGGCUAUGCUCUCUGGUUGCACCACUGCCUUCUCUUCUGCCAGGAAGGUUCCUGGGUUGCUCUCCAGCUCUUAGCUCACAUUAGGAGUCAGGAAUGGGUCUGGUAAUCCUGGUGUCCCAAGAGACCCUGUUCUGCUGGGAAGCAGGGGGACUGCCCGGGAAGGUCUUCAGGAUCAGGUGAGGAGCAGAGAGCCCUCUCCUGAAGGCAGUGUGGACCAGCGAGGGUUUGGGGCAGGUCAGGGAGUGAUCUGGGGUCAGUUUCUUGGGUACAAUAUUAGAAGCAGGGUGACCAUUGGCUAAAUUGGGGGUGGGGAGAGCAGAGAGUGAGAAAAUAAUAAUAACUGUAGUAAUUAUAGUUUAUGGAGUGAAAAUAAAUGGUCCAAGCUGUACACUUAGCACUUUAUGGGAAUUAUCUCAAUUCUCACUCAGCAAUAUUAUACUAUUAUUACCUCUGUUGUACUUAGAAGAACACUGGAACUCAGAGGUGACGUCACUUAUUGUUGUUGUUCAGUUGCUAAGUCAUGUCUGACUCUUUGUGACCCCAUGGACUGAAGCCCACCAGGCUCCUCUGUCCUCCAGUAUCUCCUGGAGUUUGCUCAAAUUCAUGUCCACUGAGUCCGUGAUACUAUCUAACCAGCUUAUCUCCUGGAGAAGGAAAUGGCAAACCCAGUAUUCUUCAGUAUUCUUGCCUGGAGAAUCCCAUGGACGGUGACAUCAUUGGCCAGGGUCAAAUACCUGGCCAGUUGCCACACUGAUAUGUAAAGCCAACAGCAGCCAAAGUCUGGUGCCAACCCCAAGCGGUUACCCAUGUCAGGACUCUGCCCACCUGGGCUGAGGGUGGAGCAAGGGCACAGUCAUG
ensembl:lncRNA